CCUACGGGUGGCAGCAGUGAGGAAUAUUGGUCAAUGGGAGAGAGCCUGAACCAGCCAAGCCGCGUGAGGGAAGACGGCCCUAUGGGUUGUAAACCUCUUUUGUCGGAGAAUAAAAUCUGGGACGUGUCCUGGUUUGUGUGUACCCUAUGAAUAAGCAUCGGCUAACUCCGUGCCAGCAGCCGCGGUAAUACGGAGGAUCCGAGCGUUAUCCGGAUUUAUUGGGUUUAAAGGGUGCGUAGGCGGUCCGUUAAGUCAGCGGUAAAAUUGCGGGGCUCAACCCUGGCGAGCCGUUGAAACUGGCAGACUUGAGUAGGCGAGAGGUACGCGGAAUGCGCGGUGUAGCGGUGAAAUGCAUAGAUAUCGCGCAGAACUCCGAUUGCGAAGGCAGCGUACCGGCGCCUGACUGACGCUGAGGCACGAAAGCGUGGGGAUCGAACAGGAUUAGAUACCCGAGUAGUC
rnacentral:rRNA from 1 species